rnacentral:lncRNA from 1 species
UAACUUGUACUUAAAUUGUUUACAUUGAAAGUUGCCUGCCCCACUCCUUCUCAUGCCUAGGUUUGGUACCUAGCAUGUACUUUGACAUGUUGCGCCUACUAGUAUGAUUGUUAUGUGUUAUCUAUCAUGUGUAGGUCGUUGUGUAUGUCAUAUAGUUGUGAGUUGUCCUGGUCAUUACUUGCAUCCUACUUGCACCGUUGUGUGGGUCUUUCGAGACGUUAAUAGCUCAUCACAUUAAGGGGGCGUGUUCUGCUCUACGCACAUCACUAACCCAAAAUGUGUAUAUAUGUAUUGGACUCCAUCUAGUAUUCACGAUGCAAGAUUAUCCAAUCAAUUCGUUUGAUGUCAAAGCCAUCCGAAGUUCAAAUUGGC